GUGGAUCGAUGAAAAACGCAGCAAAAAUGCGCGUUGUCAUGUGAACUGCAGGACACAUGAACGUCGACACUUUGAACGCAAAUGGCGGCCCUCG
rnacentral:rRNA from 1 species